rnacentral:tRNA from 1 species
GCCUGGGUGGCUCAGUAGUCGAUUAAGCGUCUGACUUUGGCUCAGGUCAUGAUUUCGCAGUUCGUGGGUUCGAGCCCCACAUCCGGCU